rnacentral:rRNA from 1 species
UACGUAGGGUCCGAGCGUUGUCCGGAAUUAUUGGGCGUAAAGAGCUUGUAGGCGGUCUGUCGCGUCUGCUGUGAAAAUCCGGGGCUCAACCCCGGACUUGCAGUGGGUACGGGCAGACUAGAGUGUGGUAGGGGGGUGUGGAAUUCCCAGUGUAGCGGUGAAAUGCGCAGAUAUUGGGAGGAACACCAAUGGCGAAGGCAGCACCCUGGGCCGGUACUGACGCUGAGGAGCGAAAGCGUGGGGAGCGAACAGG